rnacentral:lncRNA from 1 species
AUUUAAUCGAGGAAAUGAGUUCUUCGGCCUUCAUAAACGCCGUCAGGAGAUUCGCCGCUAUAAGAGGCCAAGUAAAGAUUUUCCGAUCUGACCGUGGAACAAACUUUAUUGGAGCAAUCGACGAUUUAAAGAUUGAUUCAAUCAACGUUGAAGAUGGACCCUUCAAGAACUUUCUGUACAGUUCUGGUACAACUUGGAUCUUCAAUGCGCCGCAUUCGUCCCACAUGGGUGGAGCCUGGGAAAGAAUGAUUGGUAUCACCAGAAGAAUUCUUGAUUCUAUGCUUCUAAAUGCAGCCGGAAGAAGCCUUACGCAUGACGUGCUUAACACACUAAUGGCAGAAGUUUCAGCAAUAGUGAACUCUAGACCUCUGG